UACGUAGGCAGCAAGCGUUGUUCGGAGUUACUGGGCGUAAAGGGUGCGUAGGCGGCUUUGUAAGUCAGUGGUGAAAUAUGGCAGCUCAACUGUCAGGGUGCCAUUGAUACUGCAGAGCUUGAGUACAGAUGAGGUAGGCGGAAUUGACGGUGUAGCGGUGAAAUGCUUAGAUAUCGUCAAGAACACCGAUAGCGAAGGCAGCUUACUGGGCUGUAACUGACGCUGAGGCACGAAAGUGUGGGGGAUCAAACAGG
rnacentral:rRNA from 1 species